rnacentral:lncRNA from 1 species
CUGGAUCACCACAUUCCUCUCUUCCUCCUUUUCCUUCCCUCCUCUUUCUCUUCCUCCUUUUCCUUCCUUCCCUUCCUCUUUCUCCUUUUCCUUUUCUCCCUCUUUCUCUUCCUCCUUUUCCUUCUCUUCCUCUACAUCCUUCCCUCCCUCUUUCUCUUCCUCUACAUCCUUCCCUCCCUCUUUCUCUUCCUCUACAUCCUUCCCUCCCUCUUUCUCUUCCUCCUUUUCCUUCCCUUCCUCUUUCUCUUCCUCUACAUCCUUCCCUCCCUCUUUCUCUUCCUCUACAUCCUUCCCUCCCUCUUUCUCUUCCUCUACAUCCGUUCCUCCCUCUUUCUCUUCCUCUACAUCCGUCCCUCCCUCUUUCUCUUCCUCUACAUCCGUUCCUCCCUCUUUCUCUUCCUCUACAUCCGUCCCUCCCUCUUUCUCUUCCUCUACAUCCUUCCCUCCAACUUUCUCUUCCUCUACAUCCUUCCCUCCAACUUUCUCUUCCUCUACAUCCGUUCCUCCCUCUUUCUCUUCCUCUACAUCCGUCCCUCCCUCUUUCUCUUCCUCCUUUUCCUUCCUUCCCUCCCUCUUUCUCUUCCUCUACAUCCUUCCCUCCCUCUUUCUCUUCCUCUACAUCCUUCCCUCCCUCUUUCUCUUCCUCUACAUCCUUCCCUCCCUCUUUCUCUUCCUCCUUUUCCUUCCUUCCCUCCCUCUUUCUCUUCCUCUACAUCCUUCCCUCCCUCUUUCUCUUCCUCUACAUCUGUCCCUCCCUCUUUCUCUUCCUCUACAUCUGUCCCUCCCUCUUUCUCUUCCUCUAGAUCCGUCCCUCCCUCUUUCUCUUCCUCUAGAUCCGUCCCUCCCUCUUUCUCUUCCUCUACAUCCGUCCCUCCCUCUUUCUCUUCCUCGUUUUCCGUCCCUCCCUCUUUCUCUUCCUCCUUUUCCUUUCCUCCUCUUUCUCUUCCUCCUUUUCCUUUUCUCCCUCUUUCUCUUCCUCCUUUUCCUUUCCUCCCUCUUUCUCUUCCUCUACAUCCUUCCCUCCCUCUUUCUCUUCCUCUACAUCCUUCCCUCCCUCUUUCUCUUCCUCCUUUUCCUUCCCUUCCUCUUUCUCUUCCUCUACAUCCGUCCCUCCCUCUUUCUCUUCCUCUACAUCCGUCCUGCCCUCUUUCUCUUCCUCCUUUUCCUUUCCUCCCUCUUUCUCUUCCUCCUUUUCCUUUCCUCCCUCUUUCUCUUCCUCCUUUUCCUUUCCUCCCUCUUUCUCUUCCUCUACAUCCUUCCCUCCCUCUUUCUCUUCCUCGUUUUCCGUCCCUCCCUCUUUCUCUUCCUCCUUUUCCUUUUCUCCCUCUUUCUCUUCCUCCUUUUCCUUUCCUCCCUCUUUCUCUUCCUCUACAUCCUUCCCUCCCUCUUUCUCUUCCUCUACAUCCUUCCCUCCCUCUUUCUCUUCCUCCUUUUCCUUCCCUUCCUCUUUCUCUUCCUCUACAUCCGUCCCUCCCUCUUUCUCUUCCUCUACAUCCGUCCUGCCCUCUUUCUCUUCCUCCUUUUCCUUUCCUCCCUCUUUCUCUUCCUCCUUUUCCUUUCCUCCCUCUUUCUCUUCCUCUACAUCCUUCCCUCCCUCUUUCUCUUCCUCCUUUUCCUUCCCUUCCUCUUUCUCUUCCUCCUUUUCCUUCCCUUCCUCUUUCUCUUCCUCCUUUUCCUUCCCUUCCUCUUUCUCUUCCUCCUUUUCCUUCCCUUCCUCUUUCUCUUCCUCCUUUUCCGUCCCUCCCUCUUUCUCUUCCUCCUUUUCCGUCCCUCCCUCUUUCUCUUCCUCUACAUCCGUCCCUCCCUCUUUCUCUUCCUCCUUUUCCGUCCCUCCCUCUUUCUCUUCCUCUACAUCCGUCCCUCCCUCUUUCUCUUCCUCUACAUCCGUCCCUCCCUCUUUCUCUUCCUCUACAUCCGUCCCUCCCUCUUUCUCUUCCUCCUUUUCCAUUCCUCCCUCUUUCUCUUCCUCUACAUCCGUCCCUCCCUCUUUCUCUUACUCUACAUCCGUCCCUCCCUCUUUCUCUUCCUCCUUUUCCGUUCCUCCCUCUUUCUCUUCCUCCUUUUCCUUCCCUCCCUCUUUCUCUUCCUCUACAUCCGUCCCUCCCUCUUUCUCUUCCUCUACAUCCGUCCCUCCCUCUUUCUCUUCCUCUAGAUCCGUCCCUCCCUCUUUCUCUUCCUCUAGAUCCGUCCCUCCCUCUUUCUCUUCCUCUAGAUCCGUCCCUCCCUCUUUCUCUUCCUCUAGAUCCGUCCCUCCCUCUUUCUCUUCCUCUAGAUCCGUCCCUCCCUCUUUCUCUUCCUCUAGAUCCGUCCUUCCCUCUUUCUCUUCCUCUAGAUCCGUCCCUCCCUCUUUCUCUUCCUCUACAUCCGUCCCUCCCUCUUUCUCUUCCUCUACAUCCGUCCCUCCCUCUUUCUCUUCCUCUACAUCCGUCCCUCCCUCUUUCUCUUCCUCUACAUCCGUCCCUCCCUCUUUCUCUUCCUCUACAUCCGUCCCUCCCUCUUUCUCUUCCUCUACAUCCGUCCCUCCCUCUUUCUCUUCCUCUACAUCCGUCCCUCCCUCUUUCUCUUCCUCUACAUCCGUCCCUCCCUCUUUCUCUUCCUCUACAUCCGUCCCUCCCUCUUUCUCUUCCUCUACAUCCGUCCUCCCUCUUUCUCUUCCUCCUUUUCCAUCCCUCCCUCUUUCUCUUCCUCCUUUUCCUUCCCUCCCUCUUUCUCUUCCUCUACAUCCUUCCCUCCCUCUUUCUCUCCACAUGGACAUCUGCUUGCUGUAUAUUGAGCUGA